rnacentral:lncRNA from 1 species
UUGGGUUAAUGAAGUAAGUUGUUAUAAAGAUAGCAAAUAUUUAUCUGAAUAUUGGUUAAUAUAGUAAACCAAGUUUCAAAAUUUAAUAUUUUGGAAUACAUGAUUAUUUGAGUAGUAAAUUUUGUGUUAUAUGUCGAACGUAUACGAUGAGGCUUAGAAUGUAAGGAAAUGAAGAAUAAUUUACGAUUAUGCCACCGAGAGGAAAACGAAAACCAGCCGCGGAAGAUCAACCAGAUAAUCGAACGUCGAACGCCAAAGACUUUAUGGCAAUCUUAUUGCUAGGGUAUAGAGGAUUAAGUGACUCAGUAGAAGCGUUUAUGAUAGUUAGGAUAACGGAAAGGGCAAAAGAUAACUUUUAUCACCUAUAUGAUAAAAGGGAAAUGAGAUAAAGAAAAAGUUUGUGUGCUAUGUGUGAGGGCAGAAGAGACAUAUCUCUUCC